rnacentral:rRNA from 1 species
UACGUAGGGUGCAAGCGUUGUCCGGAAUUAUUGGGCGUAAAGAGCUCGUAGGCGGUCUGUUGCGUCGGGAGUGAAAACUUACAGCUUAACUGUGAGCGUGCUUCCGAUACGGGCAGACUUGAGGUAUUCAGGGGAGAACGGAAUUCCUGGUGUAGCGGUGAAAUGCGCAGAUAUCAGGAGGAACACCGGUGGCGAAGGCGGUUCUCUGGGAAUAUCCUGACGCUGAGGAGCGAAAGUGUGGGGAGCGAACAGG